rnacentral:rRNA from 1 species
UGGGGAAUAUUGGGCAAUGGGCGAAAGCCUGACCCAGCAACGCCGCGUGAAGGAAGAAGGCCUUCGGGUUGUAAACUUCUUUUACCAGGGACGAAGGAUGUGACGGUACCUGGAGAAAAAGACAACGGCUAACUACGUGCCAGCAGCCGCGGUAAUACGUAGGUUGCAAGCGUUGUCCGGAUUUACUGGGUGUAAAGGGCGUGUAGGCGGAGAUGCAAGUUGGGAGUGAAAACCAUGGGCUCAACCCAUGAACUGCUUUCAAAACUGUAUCCCUUGAGUAUCGGAGAGGCAAGCGGAAUUCCUAGUGUAGCGGUG